rnacentral:rRNA from 1 species
AGUGAACGCUGGCGGUAGGCCUAACACAUGCAAGUCGAACGGCAGCACAGUAAGAGCUUGCUCUUACGGGUGGCGAGUGGCGGACGGGUGAGGAAUACAUCGGAAUCUACUUUUUCGUGGGGGAUAACGUAGGGAAACUUACGCUAAUACCGCAUACGACCUACGGGUGAAAGCAGGGGAUCUUCGGACUUUGCGCGAUUGAAUGAGCCGAUGUUGGAUUAGCUAGUUGGCGGGGUAAAGGCCCACCAAGGCGACGAUCCGUAUCGGGUCUGAGAGGAUGAUCAGCCACACUGGAACUGAGACACGGUCCAGACUCCUACGGGAGGCAGCAGUGGGGAAUAUUGGACAAUGGGCGCAAGCCUGCUCCAGCCAUACCGCGUGGGUGAAGAAGGCCUUCGGGUUGUAAAGCCCUUUUGUUGGGAAAGAAAAGCAGCAGGUUAAUACCCCGCUGUUCUGACGGUACCCAAAGAAUAAGCACCGGCUAACUUCGUG